UGAUAUGAGAUAAAAAUUAGGAAUCGACUUAUGUAAUAGAGCCGAUCCCCUAAGUUAUUGAGCAGCGGUGUAGCAUUAGAUCCCAAAGACAGUAAGUCUUUUUUAUGAGGAAGAAGUCUUUUUCAAGGAUUCUAUAUAAAUUUCUAUAUGAUAUGAAACCGAGAUAGUUACCUUUCAGAAAAAUCUAACGGACGACAGCCCCG
rnacentral:lncRNA from 1 species